GUGCUCACUUUAGCAGCACAUAUACUAAAAUUUGAAUGGUACAAAGAAGAUCAGCAUGACCCCAUAUGCAAGGAUAACAUGCAAAUUCAUGAAGAAUAACAUUUUUUU